GGCUCAGAUAAACCGCAGGUCAGUGGCUAUCCCGUCCGCCUGAAAAGCGGAAGGUCGCCGGUUCGAUCCCGGCCCUGGCCACCA
rnacentral:tRNA from 1 species